rnacentral:rRNA from 1 species
CCUACGGGAGGCUGCAGUGAGGAAUAUUGGUCAAUGGACGAGAGUCUGAACCAGCCAAGUAGCGUGAAGGAUGACUGCCCUCUGGGUUGUAAACUUCUUUUAUAUGGGAAUAAAAUGUUCCGCGUGUGGGAUUUUGUAUGUACCAUAUGCAUACGGAUCGGCUACCUCCGUGCCAGCAGCCGCGGUCAUGCGGAGGCUCCGAGCUUUAUCCGGAUUUAUUGGGUUUAAAGGGUGCGUAGGCGGAAUGCCAAGUCAGCGGUAAAAUGGCGGGGCUCAACCUCGCUCCGCCGUUGAAACUGGCGUUCUUGAGUGGGCGAGAAGUAUGUGGAAUGCGUGGUGUAGCGGUGAAAUGCAUAGAUAUCACGCAGAACUCCGAUUGCGAAGGCAGCAUACCGGCGCCCAACUGACGCUGAAGCACGAAAGCGUGGGUAUCGAACAGGAUUAGAUACCCGGGUAGUC